ACUGGGCGCCGUGGCGCGUGCCUGUAGUCCCAGCUACACGGGAGGCUGAGGUGGGAGGAUUGCUUGAGCCCAGGAGUUCUGGGCUGUAGUGCACUAUGCUGAUCGGGUGUCUGCACUAAGUUCAGCAUCAAUAUGGUGACCUCCCAGGAGCGGGGGACCACCAGGUUGCCUAAGGAGGGGUGAACUGGCCCAGGUCGGAAACGGAGCAGGUCAAAAACUCCCAUGCUGAUCAAUAGUGGGAUCACACCUGUGAAUAGCCACUGCACUCCAGCCUGGGCAACAUAGCGAGACCCUGUCUCUG
ensembl:misc_RNA Metazoa_SRP Metazoan signal recognition particle RNA